GAUGAACGCUGGCGGCGUGCCUAAUACAUGCAAGUCGAGCGAACAGACGAGGAGCUUGCUCCUCUGACGUUAGCGGCGGACGGGUGAGUAACACGUGGAUAACCUACCUAUAAGACUGGGAUGACUUCGGGAAACCGGAGCUAAUACCGGAUAAUAUAUUGAACCGCAUGGUUCAAUAGUGAAAGACGGUUUUGCUGUCACUUAUAGAUGGAUCCGCGCCGCAUUAGCUAGUUGGUAAGGUAACGGCUUACCAAGGCGACGAUGCGUAGCCGACCUGAGAGGGUGAUCGGCCACACUGGAACUGAGACACGGUCCAGACUCCUACGGGAGGCAGCAGUAGGGAAUCUUCCGCAAUGGGCGAAAGCUUGACGGAGCAACGCCGCGUGAGUGAUGAAGGUCUUCGGAUCGUAAAACUCUGUUAUUAGGGAAGAACAAAUGUGUAAGUAACUAUGCACGUCUUGACGGUACCUAAUCAGAAAGCCACGGCUAACUACGUG
rnacentral:rRNA from 1 species